GCCCGGCUAGCUCAAUCGGUAGAGCGUGAGACUCUUAUGUGGAGUUCUCCGAACGUAUAAUCUCAAGGUUGUGGGUUCGACCCCCACGUCGGGCU